UCUUCUUCAGCCUCUCUGUGCAGAGCAGCCCUCCCUGCAGAUGUGUGACCGAGGAGCAGCAGGGCUCCUGGCCCCUGGUCCUCACCCUGAUCAGAGGGGCCCUCAUGGGGGCUGGCUUCCUCCUCACCUACGUCCUCACCUGGCUCUACUACACCAGGUGUGGAGGCCCCCGGAACAGGAGGCAGAGCUCCUGAUGGAUCCUCCCUUCCUCUCAAGAUGGGACUGAGGUGUGGACACCAGGCGAGAGGGACCGUCCUGGGACCUCAAUGUCACCUUCUCCCUGGAAGCUGUUG